rnacentral:rRNA from 1 species
GGGGUGACUGCGUACCUUUUGUAUAAUGGGUCAGCGACUUAUAUUCUGUAGCAAGGUUAACCGCAUAGGGGAGCCGAAGGGAAACCGAGUCUUAACCGGGCGUUAAGUUGCAGGGUAUAGACCCGAAACCCGGUGAUCUAGCCAUGGGCAGGUUGAAGGUUGGGUAACACUAACUGGAGGACCGAACCGACUAAUGUUGAAAAAUUAGCGGAUGACCUGUGGCUGGGGGUGAAAGGCCAAUCAAACCGGGAGAUAGCUGGUUCUCCCCGAAAGCUAUUUAGGUAGCGCCUCGUGAAUUCAUCUCCGGGGGUAGAGCACUGUUUCGGCUAGGGGGCCAUCCCGGCUUACCAACCCGAUGCAAACUGCGAAUACCGGAGAAUGUUAUCACGGGAGACACACGGCGGGUGCUAACGUCCGUCGUGAAGAGGGAAACAACCCAGACCGCCAGCUAAGGUCCCAAAGUCAUGGUUAAGUGGGAAACGAUGUGGGAAGGCCCAGACAGCCAGGAUGUUGGCUUAGAAGCAGCCAUCAUUUAAAGAAAGCGUAAUAGCUCACUGGUCGAGUCGGCCUGCGCGGAAGAUGUAACGGGGCUAAACCAUGCACCGAAGCUGCGGCAGCGACACUUUAGUGUUGUUGGGUAGGGGAGCGUUCUGUAAGCCGUUGAAGGUGUCCUGUGAGGGGUGCUGGAGGUAUCAGAAGUGCGAAUGCUGACAUAAGUAACGAUAAAGCGGGUGAAAAGCCCGCUCGCCGGAAGACCAAGGGUUCCUGUCCAACGUUAAUCGGGGCAGGGUGAGUCGACCCCUAAGGCGAGGCCGAAAGGCGUAGUCGAUGGGAAACGGGUUAAUAUUCCCGUACUUGGUGUUACUGCGAAGGGGGGACGGAGAAGGCUAUGUUGGCCGGGCGACGGUAGUCCCGGUUUAAGCGUGUAGGCUGGUUUUCCAGGCAAAUCCGGAAAAUCAAGGCUGAGGCGUGAUGACGAGGCACCACGGUGCUGAAGCAACAAAUGCCCUGCUUCCAGGAAAAGCCUCUAAGCAUCAGGUAACAUCAAAUCGUACCCCAAACCGACACAGGUGGUCAGGUAGAGAAUACCAAGGCGCUUGAGAGAACUCGGGUGAAGGAACUAGGCAAAAUGGUGCCGUAACUUCGGGAGAAGGCACGCUGACACGUAGGUGAAGUGAUUUACUCAUGGAGCUGAAGUCAGUCGAAGAUACCAGCUGGCUGCAACUGUUUAUUAAAAACACAGCACUGUGCAAACACGAAAGUGGACGUAUACGGUGUGACGCCUGCCCGGUGCCGGAAGGUUAAUUGAUGGGGUCAGCGCAAGCGAAGCUCCUGAUCGAAGCCCCGGUAAACGGCGGCCGUAACUAUAACGGUCCUAAGGUAGCGAAAUUCCUUGUCGGGUAAGUUCCGACCUGCACGAAUGGCGUAAUGAUGGCCAGGCUGUCUCCACCCGAGACUCAGUGAAAUUGAACUCGCUGUGAAGAUGCAGUGUACCCGCGGCAAGACGGAAAGACCCCGUGAACCUUUACUAUAGCUUGACACUGAACAUUGAGCCUUGAUGUGUAGGAUAGGUGGGAGGCUUUGAAGCGUGGACGCCAGUCUGCGUGGAGCCGACCUUGAAAUACCACCCUUUAAUGUUUGAUGUUCUAACGUGGACCCGUAAUCCGGGUUGCGGACAGUGUCUGGUGGGUAGUUUGACUGGGGCGGUCUCCUCCUAAAGAGUAACGGAGGAGCACGAAGGUUGGCUAAUCCUGGUCGGACAUCAGGAGGUUAGUGCAAUGGCAUAAGCCAGCUUGACUGCGAGCGUGACGGCGCGAGCAGGUGCGAAAGCAGGUCAUAGUGAUCCGGUGGUUCUGAAUGGAAGGGCCAUCGCUCAACGGAUAAAAGGUACUCCGGGGAUAACAGGCUGAUACCGCCCAAGAGUUCAUAUCGACGGCGGUGUUUGGCACCUCGAUGUCGGCUCAUCACAUCCUGGGGCUGAAGUAGGUCCCAAGGGUAUGGCUGUUCGCCAUUUAAAGUGGUACGCGAGCUGGGUUUAGAACGUCGUGAGACAGUUCGGUCCCUAUCUGCCGUGGGCGCUGGA